rnacentral:rRNA from 1 species
AGCAGCCGCGGUAAUACGGAGGGUGCGAGCGUUAUCCGGAUUUAUUGGGUUUAAAGGGUCCGUAAGGCGGAGUUAAUAAGUCAGUGGUGAAAUCCCAUCGCUUAACGAUGGAACUGCCAUUGAUACUGUUAGUCUUGAAUGAGGGUGCAGUGGUUGGAAUGUGUAGUGUAGCGGUGAAAUAGCAUAGAUAUUACACAGAACACCGAUUGCGAAGGCAGAUCACUAACCCUAAAUUGACGCUGAGGGACGAAAGCGUGGGGAGCGAACAGGAUUAGAUACCCUGGUAG